rnacentral:rRNA from 1 species
GGAUGAACGCUGGCGGCGUGCCUAAUACAUGCAAGUCGAGCGAACAGAUAAGGAGCUUGCUCCUUUGACGUUAGCGGCGGACGGGUGAGUAACACGUGGAUAACCUACCUAUAAGACUGGGAUAACUUCGGGAAACCGGAGCUAAUACCGGAUAACAUAUUGAACCGCAUGGUUCAAUAGUGAAAGGCGGCUUUGCUGUCACUUAUAGAUGGAUCCGCGCCGUAUUAGCUAGUUGGUAAGGUAACGGCUUACCAAGGCAACGAUACGUAGCCGACCUGAGAGGGUGAUCGGCCACACUGGAACUGAGACACGGUCCAGACUCCUACGGGAGGCAGCAGUAGGGAAUCUUCCGCAAUGGGCGAAAGCCUGAUGGAGCAACGCCGCGUGAGUGAUGAAGGUCUUCGGAUCGUAAAACUCUGUUAUCAGGGAAGAACAAAUGUGUAAGUAACUGUGCACAUCUUGACGGUACCUGAUCAGAAAGCCACGGCUAACUACGUGCCAGCAGCCGCGGUAAUACGUAGGUGGCAAGCGUUAUCCGGAAUUAUUGGGCGUAAAGCGCGCGUAGGCGGUUUUUUAAGUCUGAUGUGAAAGCCCACGGCUCAACCGUGGGAGGGUCAUUGGAAACUGGGAAAACUUGAGUGCAGAAGAGGAAAGUGGAAUUUCCAUGUGUAGCGGUGAAAUGCGCAGAGAUAUGGAGAAACACCAGUGGCGAAGGCGACUUUCUGGUCUGUAACUGACGCUGAUGUGCGAAAGCGUGGGGAUCAAACAGGAUUAGAUACCCUGGUAGUCCACGCCGUAAACGAUGAGUGCUAAGUGUUAGGGGGUUUCCGCCCCUUAGUGCUGCAGCUAACGCAUUAAGCACUCCGCCUGGGGAGUACGACCGCAAGGUUGAAACUCAAAGGAAUUGACGGGGACCCGCACAAGCGGUGGAGCAUGUGGUUUAAUUCGAAGCAACGCGAAGAACCUUACCAAAUCUUGACAUCCUUUGACUGCUCUAGAGAUAGAGUCUUCCCCUUCGGGGGACAAAGUGACAGGUGGUGCAUGGUUGUCGUCAGCUCGUGUCAUGAGAUGUUGGGUUAAGUCCCGCAACGAGCGCAACCCUUAAGCUUAGUUGCCAUCAUUAAGUUGGGCACUCUAAGUUGACUGCCGGUGACAAACCGGAGGAAGGUGGGGAUGACGUCAAAUCAUCAUGCCCCUUAUGAUUUGGGCUACACACGUGCUACAAUGCACAAUACAAAGGGCAGCUAAACCGCGAGGUCAAGCAAAUCCCAUAAAGUUGUUCUCAGUUCGGAUUGUAGUCUGCAACUCGACUACAUGAAGCUGGAAUCGCUAGUAAUCGUAGAUCAGCAUGCUACGGUGAAUACGUUCCCGGGUCUUG